rnacentral:misc_RNA from 1 species
UCGUAACAAGGUUUCCGUAGGUGAACCUGCGGAAGGAUCAUUAUUGAUUGGUCGAAAGACCUUAUCAGAUUCUACCACCUCUGUGAACCGUUGACCUCCGGGUUAAUAAUCAAACAUCAGUGUAACGAACGUAAGAGUAUCUUAAUUAAACAAAACUUUUAACAACGGAUCUCUUGGCUCUCGCAUCGAUGAAGAACGCAGCGAAAUGCGAUAAGUAAUGUGAAUUGCAGAAUUCAGUGAAUCAUCGAAUCUUUGAACGCACCUUGCGCCUUUUGGUAUUCCGAAAGGCAUGCCUGUUUCAGUGUCAUGAAAUCUCAAUCUAAUAUGUUUUCUGAACAUGUUAGGCUUGGACUUGGGUGUCUGCCAGCAAUGGCUCACCUCAAAUGACUUAGUGGAACAUCCCACAUCAGUGUUAGACGUAAUAAGUUUCGUCUCUCCUUGUGGUGAUGACUGCUCAAAACCUGCCAUCGCGCACCUUUUGACUUUGACCUGAAAUCAGGUAGGGCUACCCGCUGAACCUAAGCAUAUC